UCUGACCAUUAUAGGGUUUUCCUCACCUCAAAAAUAUCGUCAACUUAACAGUUAUAUACCGUUAAGCAUUAUUCCUUUGUGCAUUAGGUCUAGGAAAUUGAUAAUUCCAAAUCAUCUUCUGUCUACUGUCUAGUUUUUAGUCUCUACUUUGACUAUUUUUAACAGAAUGAACUAUAUCCUUGAUAAGACUUCUAUUGGAGAAGAAAUGCAUUUGCAAGAUCCUGCUGAAGAGAAAUGAUAAGAGUGCUCUCUUGGUAUCACUUCUGGCCGUGCUCCGGGGACAAUUUGGACUGCAGGAAAUCAAACCUGGGUUGACUAUAUGCAAGGGGGGCACCCCAUGGUCCUCGGGAAUUACUCUUGGCUCUGCAAUCAGAAAUUAGUCUUUGCAGUCCUCAGGAGACCAUAUAGGAUGCUGGUGAUUAAAUCUGGUGUGCAAGGCAAGAGACCUACUUGCUAUACUACUGCUCUGCCCCCAAGUGUGUACCCCUUAAGCAGCAGAAGGGUUUCUGUGUUCUGGGAGUCAUGAGUAUGUCAUCUGACUUC